rnacentral:rRNA from 1 species
ACGUAAGUUGCGAACGUUAUCCGGAAUCACUGGGCGUAAAGCGUUCGUAGGCGGCAUGGAAAGUAGGAUUUGAAAGCCCGGGGCUCAACUCCGGAUCCGGAUCCUAAACUUCCAAGCUAGAACAGAUCAGAGGGCAGAGGAAUUCCCGGUGUAGCGGUAAUAUGCACAGAUAUCGGGAGGAACACCAGUGGCGAAGGCGACUGCCUGGGGUCUUGUUGACGCUGAGGAACGAAAGCUAGGGUAGCGAACGGG